rnacentral:rRNA from 1 species
CGGACGGGUGAGUAACGCGUGGGUAACCUGCCCUGUACAGGGGGAUAACAGUUAGAAAUGACUGCUAACACCGCAUAAGCGCACGGUAAGGCAUCUUAGUGUGUGAAAAUAUUAAUAGGUACAGGAUGGGCCCGCGUCUGAUUAGCCAGUUGGCAGGGUAACGGCCUACCAAAGCGACGAUCAGUAGCCGGCUUGAGAGAGUGAACGGCCACAUUGGGACUGAGAUACGGCCCAGACUCCUACGGGAGGCAGCAG